CCCGAGGCCACGCCUCCCUCCUGCCCCGGAGGCUCCGGGAGCGCCAGCUAAGAUGAGAAACAGGAGGAACAGGAUGUAUGUAACUUGCCCAAGGUCACAGAGCCAAGAGGUGGCUGAAGCCAGACUUGAACCCAGGCAUUCAGCUAAGAAACUGCAUUCUUAAGCAAAACAUCACAAGACCUGCUCUAGAGAAAGUGUUCCUGCCUCCUGCUAGGCAAGGUGAUGCCCUAGGGGAAAGGAAG
rnacentral:lncRNA from 1 species